GAUGAAGAACGCAGCGAAAUGCGAUAAGUAGUGUGAAUUGCAGAAUUCAGUGAAUCAUCGAAUCUUUGAACGCACAUUGCGCCCUUUGGUAUUCCUUAGGGCAUGCCUGUUCGAGCGUCAUUACAACCCUCAAGCUCUGCUUGGUGUUGGGCCCCGCCGCCCCGGCGGGCCCUAAAGUCAGUGGCGGUGCCGUCCGGCUCCGAGCGUAGUAAUUUUUCUCGCUUUGGAGGCCCGGGCGCGUGCUUGCCAUCAACCCCCAAUUUUUUUCAGGUUGACCUCGGAUCAGGUAGGGAUACCCGCUGAACUUAAGCAUAUCAAUAAGCGGAGGA
rnacentral:misc_RNA from 1 species